AUGUUCUUUCUGUCUAUAUCUGGUUCUAUUAUUGGCAAAUUUGUGCCUUCGAGAUUGCUGCGAGUACCAGCAGACUUUUCCGUCCUCAUAUUCCCCGGAUUCGUUUUCUGCGAUCAAGCGCCCGAGCGGUUGCAUCUCGACGGCAGAUCAGAAGGUUUUGCAGUUGACAAGCUUACAGGUUUGAGCACCCCGAACAACGGGGUGGACCCUUUGACCUGUGGGUUCUGCUGGUACCAAGAGAAGGAGGUUCCUUUUAACCUGCAGGAGCUCUGCCAAUGGCAGUGUGCUUUCCUUGACAAUGACGUGGUACUGCACGUAUGCAAGAUGCAGCGAGUGAAAUCGGCGCAAGAGGGCAUCUUGCAAGCAGCACCAAAUCCUAUAUUAUGGGACCGAAUGUCUUAA
rnacentral:rRNA from 1 species